AAGGGUUUCGGCUCGUAAAGCUCUGUUGGUAGUGAAGAAAGAUAGAGGUAGUAACUGGCCUUUAUUUGACGGUAAUUACUUAGAAAGUCACGGCUAACUACGUGCCAGCAGCCGCGGUAAUACGUAGGUGGCAAGCGUUGUCCGGAUUUAUUGGGCGUAAAGCGAGUGCAGGCGGUUCAAUAAGUCUGAUGUGAAAGCCUUCGGCUCAACCGGAGAAUUGCAUCAGAAACUGUUGAACUUGAGUGCAGAAGAGGAGAGUGGAACUCCAUGU
rnacentral:rRNA from 1 species